AGCGAACGCUGGCGGCAGGCCUAACACAUGCAAGUCGAACGGACCCUUCGGGGUUAGUGGCGGACGGGUGAGUAACACGUGGGAACGUGCCUUUAGGUUCGGAAUAGCUCCUGGAAACGGGUGGUAAUGCCGAAUGUGCCCUUCGGGGGAAAGAUUUAUCGCCUUUAGAGCGGCCCGCGUCUGAUUAGCUCGUUGGUGGUGUAACGGACCACCAAGGCGACGAUCAGUAGCUGGUCUGAGAGGAUGAUCAGCCACAUUGGGACUGAGACACGGCCCAAACUCCUACGGGAGGCAGCAGUGGGGAAUCUUGCGCAAUGGGCGAAAGCCUGACGCAGCCAUGUCGCGUGAAUGAUGAAGGUCUUAGGAUUGUAAAAUUCUUUCACCGGGGACGAUAAUGACGGUACCCGGAGAAGAAGCCCCGGCUAACUUCGUGCCAGCCGCCGCAGUAAGAC
rnacentral:rRNA from 1 species